rnacentral:rRNA from 1 species
UACGGGGGGGGCAAGCGUUGUUCGGAAUUACUGGGCGUAAAGGGCUCGUAGGUGGCCAACUAAGUCGGACGUGAAAUCCCUCGGCUUAACCGGGGAACUGCGUCCGAUACUGGUUGGCUUGAGUUUGGGAGAGGGAUGCGGAAUUCCAGGUGUAGCGGUGAAAUGCGUAGAUAUCUGGAGGAACACCGGUGGCGAAGGCGGCAUCCUGGACCAACACUGACACUGAGGUGCGAAAGCGUGGGGAGCAAACAGG